rnacentral:lncRNA from 1 species
UUUUAUUUAAGUAUAGAAAUAUUCAUGGAUCGAGAUAUAUACGGCCAAGUCUUGUACUUUUUUUCUUUCUUCUUUUAAUCUAAAAUUAUAAGUAAAAUAUCACAUAAUGUGAAAGAGCAUAAUGAGAUGCUGCACUUGAGAAUAAAAAACAAGUGAUUGGGAAGUAAAGAGAUGGGCAAAUAGCCGCAUUUCUCGGAGUACGUUUC